rnacentral:rRNA from 1 species
CCGGCGCACGGGUGAGUAACACGUAUGCAACCUGGCCGUCACAGGUGGAUAACCAGAAGAAAUUCCGACUAAUACAGCAUAACACUCCUGAGGGACAUCCCUUGGGAGUCAAAGGAGGCAACUCCGGUGACGGAUGGGCAUGCGGCGCAUUAGGUAGUUGGUAGGGUAACGGCCUACCAAGCCGACGAUGCGUAGGGGUUCUGAGAGGAAGGUCCCCCACAUUGGAACUGAGACACGGUCCAAACUCCUACGGGAGGCAGCAG